rnacentral:tRNA from 3 species
GCCCGGAUGGCGGAAUUGGUAGACGCAAGGGACUUAAAAUCCCUGGACCCGAAACGGUCGUGCGAGUUCAAGUCUCGCUCUGGGCACCA